rnacentral:lncRNA from 1 species
UUGUAUCUGACUGUUGGGAGGACCCAUAUGAAAAAGAAGACCCUUUCGUGUGUAUUUCUCCUGGUAAUUUACAACUAUUGGAAAUAUAAGUUUAACAUACAGUGUCAAUCAUAAUGAUACGUAAAUUAUCAUACAGUAUUGUUUCACGAUGAAAAUGUAUUUUCACUUCUAUAGCUAGCUGGCAUUGAUAUCGAGUGUGUUAUUCAUUUAAACUCUUUUUCAAAUUUAACACAAUACUAUUAAUCAAAUAAGUUUUAUUCUGAGCAGAAGUGUCGUAAAACUUUGACGAAAAUUGGUUGCCUGGGAUUCCGAUACUUUUUCCUUCGCUAGAAACACAACCAGACAGAAACAGAGUUUGUAAUUAAUUACAACAUACAUAAAACUGCAGCAAUGGAGUGGAUAAGACUGUAGUAGACAGUUAUAAGCUUAACUAACAUGUAUAGUGAGGAUUUAGUUACGAAGGCAAAACAAAUUUUCAAUGGCUAUUUGUAUGCUGCACUUCGAUGCCACGGUCAAGUUUUGGAAGAUAUUACAAAGACGUAGUUUGCAAUAAAACUCGUUUAGCGAAUUUAACUUCAAAAUAUUAUAUUUUGUUCAAUUUUUGUAAUGUUGUGAAUUUGGCCAUUUAUUAAAUAUGUUAUUAAAUCCUAAAUUACUGUGCUCGAUCUUUAAAGUUAUUUAAUGGAAGACAAUGACGUUGUAUGAUAUAGUUAAUAAAAGUUUUAAUGCCACGUGAGUUCAGAGGUUUGAAAUAUUUUGCAUUAUGUGUCUCUCGUUACAAUAAUGUAUUUUCUGUUUUCGCUAUAUUUAUGCAUGUUUGUGUACAUUUAUUUGUGUUUAUGUCGAUAAAUUGUAUUAUGCAUAUGACUAAUAAAGGUUUUGUUAUAUCAUUUA